CCUCAAAAGGUCAACUAUUAAGGUCACUAGAGUGUAAAAACGAGUCCCUGUUUUUUAGGCGAUUUGUGCGGGAUUGAGCCUGUCAUUGUGCGCGCACCGCCUUGAGAUUCGGCGGCGUAAGGUUAUCUUGCUGCCACUGUACCGCAGAUAUGUAAAAGGAAUAUAUACAUAAAUAUCUUUAAACACUAAUAAACACUCAUCGUCAGUCGUACAAUUUCGCCACUGAAAUCAAUAAUUGCAUCUCAUCUGGAUAUUUCAAGUAAUUUGGGCUUAGUAAAAACUCUGCAAGGAAUUAAAUGCUGAUGUGUAAUAACAUAUCACUAAAAUGAACAUACUUCAAAUCACUAAGGAAAAAGGUUGGUCAUAUACCUCUUAACAAAUUAAACUGUGAGGUUCAAAGUUCCAGUGUUUGGCACAGACAAACAAUUUCAAGUGGGUUCAAACCAAAUCAAAUUAAAUCAGGUACUGGUUCAAAUUUUUAACUAUGAAUUAUAUGCCCACUAUGUUCUAUUGGCUCCUAAUGUCGCAACUUUUACAAAUUCAUCAAGUUUUCUACAUAAACAAGUAAAUACAUGAGCGAAAAUUUCCAAAAACUCCAAAAUUCUAACAUUAUCUGAAAAUACAUUUCGUUUGUACAUAUGUAACAUUACUCAAAUAUGCAAAAGAUAUUUUCCGUGAAUUUGUAAAUUUCCACUUGAGGCGUAAAAUGGUUGUUAGUUGACUGAGUCGAUUUAUCGGAUUACGGUAUCCGUGAAGCAUUUCUGGGGUUUGUAUCUUCUUAACAAUAAUGAUUCGGCUAUUUAAAAUUUAGUAUUUCUUCGUAUGAUUUCUGCAGAUACGCGGUCUUUUAUGAGUCUCGUACACGAACAACGGUUUACCCGGAUUGUGAGCUUUUUAGAAAUUUGUAUACACGACAAUCUGCCUGAAUAAACGUCUUAUUUAAUAUUAUAAGUUAUCGAGCCGUCAAUUUCUCGAGUAUUUUUUGAAAAUUUUCGGAAACUUUAAAAAUAAAUGUUCUAGAAUAUUCACAAAUAAAGUUAAAUGUAUGUUGGGUGUGAGUGAUAAAUUUCCCAUAAUUUUUAUCUGCCAAAAAUCUGAUUUUUUUAUUUGAACCAGUUGAAUUUGCUUGACUGAAAGACGGUUUCAAUAUGUCACAUUUUUAACUUGAAUACCGGUAUUGAGCUUGUCAAUACCGGUAUUCGGUAUUCGGUAAUACCGGUGAAUACCGGUACUCGAAUACCGGUAUUGCAUGCCCUAACAUGGACGCCAAGACUUUCACCACCAUUCUGGUCGUCACCCUCACCGUCGUAACUUCAUCAUUCUGCAUCCCCCAGUACGGCGAAGUUUGCAACAGUCUCAUCCAAUGUGAACCUUACACUGACCGGAUUGACCAAAGUGUGACCUGCAUUUACCGCUUGAACACGACAAACCCGGACGGCGUGUGCGCCACGUUCGCCGUGGGAGGAGGCAGAUGUCAGUGUUCGCGAAAUUGCGGCCCUUUCAACGAUUAUCACGACAUUGGCGAAUUUCUCCCCGAGGAAAGGCGCUGUGUCGCGAUGGUGGGCAAGUUCUGCUACUCCGGGUUGCCGGAUGACUGCGUGGAGAACGCGUACUGUCCAAACACGAGACCAUAUUGUGUUUGCAAGUUGGGAUUCGAAACUGCUCCGGAUGGCAAGCAUUGUGUGGCUAUUGCGAAUAAAUAAGUAUGACUUUUUUCUCGGUUAUUUGUAAAAUUAAUAAAAAUCUGGCGUUUACGGCAGUAAUUUGCGAAAAAUAAAUUUCACAAUUUUUUCCAGUAUUUCACCUUUUUGGACAAUUUCUGAUCGACAAAUUUUCUCAAAAUUGGUUAAAAAUCGUCUAUUUCGGUUUUUGUCUCGAAAAGUUCCAAAAUAUUAGUGUGAUUUCUUUAUGUACACAAAAUUGCGCAGAUUUUAUGCUAUUAUACGCCAAAAGAUCGCUAGAAGAUGAAUAACUAGUAACUAGUUCAUUUCAUACGUCUCUACUAAUUUCUUAAUAAACAUUAAAUAUGAUACAAUGUCAAAA